UACAAUCUGUGCCAGUCAUCUCUAGGGUUUCUGCUUUUUUACCUCAUUCUGGAGACACUAUCCCAACAGUUUGCUAUGGCCGCAUUUCAACUUACUUCCUAUACCAGAACCAUUAUAAUGUGUAGUUACCUAAUACUCCUAUGUAGUUAUGUUAUCAUAACAGGGAAAGUGCCCGAAUCCUGUCACGAGGAAUGGCUGCUAAUGAAGACUAUGAGCACAAGGGCAUGAUACUGGUAUAUAUAGAUUAAAUAGAUUAGAUAGAUAGAUAGAAAAUAGAUAAAUAGAUAGGAUAUAGAUAGAUAGAUUGAUAGAAAAUAGAUAAAUAGAUAGGAUAUAGAUAGAUAGAGGAUAGAUAGAUUGAUAGAAAAUAGAUAGAUGAAUAGAUAGGAUAUAGAUAGAUAUGAGAUAAAUGAUAGAUAGAAAAUAGAUAGAUGAUAGAUAUGUGAUAGAUAGAUAAAAUAGAAAGAUUAUAUGCACAGAACUUUAUUCAGGACAGCUAAGCGGUCUCCAGGCUGACCCUCCUGCUGACACCUCUCGCCCUUCUGUGUAGGUCAGCAGUGAAGGAGUUAAUUCUCCUGGCCCUGACAAGACUCCUCCUAGUGUCCGCAGCGGCCUCCCCGGGUAACCCCGUCUAAUGAUCCUUUAACCCUCCAUUACCCCCGCUCCGCCGGUAAUAAGGCCGCCUCAUUGUCAUUCUUAUUUUCCCAUUAACCCCUCACAUUUAUGCUUAUUAAUUUCUAGUCCAUUUGCAGUUGAUGCCCCUGUACAAUCCUGUAAGGGAGGCCGAGAAGUAAGGAGAAGGAGGAGGCCGGGGACAGGGGGCUCUGUGCUGGGAAUCCUUCAUGCCACACAGCCACGGCUGAUCUAUUAUUAUUAUUAUUACUUCUGCUACUACCAUGAGGAUUUUUGCUAUAAUGACUUGCUCGAUAUAUUGAAGAGGUGGAUCCAUAGCACAACGGUAAUAAUACAUCAAGUAUGAUAAGUGUACAAGUUGCUUCCAGCGCAGACAUGAUAAAACAUGGCAGGCCAAGACAGUCAAGAAGAAUUCUUUGGGCCACAAUUCAUCUCCACAGAACCUUCCAGACAAAUAUCUAAGGCUCUGCACUUUUCUAGCACCUACCUCCCCCCUCUUCUCCACAUACAGGAUCCCAAACAGUAAAAAUUCUGCUGUUUAUCAUCAUGCACUGUAAAGUGGAUAGGUAAGUGGGUUGAUAAGGAUUGGAAGUUGGUUAGGUAGGUAGAUAGGUUGCUUCAAUAGGUAGUUUUUUCCUCUAGGUAGGUGUCCUCUGUAUGUAGUUGCCCAGUAUGUAAUUCCUCAGGUAGGGAUUUUACCCCUGUAGGUAAUUUCCCCCUCUAAGUAGGACCUCCCCAUAUGUAGUUUGCCCCAUGUCAGUAGGCCCCCUUUGUAGGAUGUUAGCCCCUGUAGAUAGGAUCCUCUAAAAGUAGUUUUCCCCUGCCCCCAUAUAGGAAAGACCCCCACUGUAGAUAGUUUGCCCCCUGGAGGUAGUACACUCUUCCUCAGGAAGCUUCUUACUGCAGCCACUCGAUACUGGAAGCUGGGACAUCUGCCCAUGAGACAUGCACGGUUACAUCAAUCGUCAGAAGAAGUGACAUUUCUGGACUGUAAGUGCUGCAGGGCUGUGCCUGUGGCAUAGAGAACUUACUUCCUAGGACAUGCUAAGACCCCUGUGACAGGGGUAAACCACAGGGGUUCUAGAACCAUCAGUCACCAUCUUCCUCACCGAUCUGCUGCAGAACACCUGGCAGGUACCCGCAGCACACUUUUUGUUGACUACUUGUCUAGAACAUUCAUCUGUAGGCUCAAUUAAUUGUUAGCAGCAGACAAAAUUUCUUUCCUUUGACGACAAUUUGACACAAUGUAUCAAUGAAGGUAAAAUGUAUUAGCCUUCUCUCUCUCCCAAGACACUGCAUCAUCCUCUGCUGUCACAGGCAGUGUGGCUGGAUCUUGCCUCUAAGCAUAAAACAUGCCCCCGAGUGAUGUCAUCACCCCGGACCAGCCCCUGCAGCCUACAUUACCAACUCUGUAAAAAAAAUUAAAAAAAUAAUAUAUAUAUAUAUAU